GUCUACAGCCAUACUACUCUGAACGCGCCCGGUCUUGCCUGAUCUGGGAAGCUAAGCAGGGUUGGGCCUGGUUAGUACUUGAAUGGGAGACUGCAUGGAAAUACCGGGUGCUGUAGGUG
ensembl:rRNA 5S_rRNA 5S ribosomal RNA